UAACCAUUCAAGCCUGGCUUGGUGUUGGGGUACGCGGUCCCGCGGCCUCUAAAAUCAGUGGCGGUGCCGUCUGGCUCUAAGCGUAGUAAUUCUUCUCGCUCCAGGGCCCGGCGGUUGCCUGCCAGAACCCCCCAUUUUCUCA
rnacentral:misc_RNA from 1 species